ensembl:processed_transcript
AGAUGAGGCAACAGAUGGAAACAUGGACAGGAUUCUGAAUGUUCUUGUUCGGUACUAUGAUGAAGAUGUGGGAAAAGUGGCAACCCAGCAUCUAGCCUCGAGGAAACUGAAUAUCGCAGAUGCCUUAUCAAUCACAAACACAUUGACAGAUAUUCUCCAGUCAUAUAGCCUGAACUGGAAUCAGGUUGUUGGUAUACUGUUGGAUAACUGCAGUGUGAUGAGAGGGAAAAAGUCUGGAGUAGAGACACUAGUCAGAAGAGAAAAUCCAUCACUGCUGGAUGUCAGCGGAGACACUGUCCAUAUGGUCUCGAAUGCAGCCAAGGCCCUUUUAAAUACUUUCCAGGGAUUUGUGGAACAAUUUUGCUCUGAUGUAUACUAUGACAUUGAAAAAUCACCCAAACAGAAAGAAAUUUUUUCUGAGUUCCAGUCCUUACUUCAUUGGGAGAAUAAGAGCCUAAUACGUCCCAUCAGCAGCAGGUUCCUGCAAAUGUUAGAUGUGUGCAACAGAAUACGGGACCUUAUGGAUCCAUUGACCGUGCACUUCUACAGCGUCCUGUCUUCUCAUGAUCAACACAAACACAGAUGGCUCCUGAACCAGCUUCUUGAUAAGCAUGCAGUUACAUCUGAUGAGAAGGCCAGGAUAAUAUGUCUGCAACAGCAAAUAGCAAAAUCUGCGAGGAUAGGAAGUGAUGUCAACAAAAAACGAAAG